rnacentral:rRNA from 1 species
AUUGAACGCUGGCGGCAGGCCUAACACAUGCAAGUCGAGCGGAGCGGCGGACGGGUGAGUAAUGCCUAGGAAUCUGCCUGGUAGUGGGGGAUAACGUCCGGAAACGGGCGCUAAUACCGCAUACUAUCAGAUGAGCCUAGGUCGGAUUAGCUAGUAGGUGGGGUAAAGGCUCACCUAGGCGACGAUCUCUAGCUGGUCUGAGAGGAUGAUCAGCCACGCUGGGACGGGGACACGGCCCAGACUCCUACGGGAGGCAGCAGUGGGGAAUAUGGCACAAUGGGCGCAAGCCGGAUGCAGCCAUGCCGCGUGUAUGAAGAAGGCCUUAGGGUUGUAAACCUCUGUCGCUAUCGAACGGGUAGGUGGAGAAGAAGCGCCGGCUAACGACGUGCCAGCAGCCGCGGUAAUAC